AGGGAGGGAGGGAAGAACAGAGCGGUGGAGGCGGAUACGUGCGGCUACAGCUGGAGGUCGAUACAUUCGGUGUGGUGAUCGCGGCGAAGGAGCGACGCCCCGCCCAGUUGCCGCCGCCGGCCGCCGGCCACCACGGAGCGAGACCUCAGUGAGGCGGUGAAGUACGGGGCUUCUGCCCGAGCUCACCACAGCAGUGUCAGCGUGUGGAAGGCGGUGAUAGCGGAAUGGCCAGUUUCCGUCUCACCGGUCUGGAGGCACGCAAGGUGUUUGUUAGAAUGCUUAGCAGCGGGACAGGUAGCAGCGAUGCCGCUGUGGAGGCUUUUGACCCCGCCAAGCGCCUCUGCAAGCUCAUCAUCUCCUGCCGGCAGGCCUCGGGGCUUGAGAUCGAGCUCGACCACAGCGACCUCCGAGUCACCCCGGACGUCGCCGAGCGCGUCCUCGAGCGCCUCGACAACGCUGGCAUGCUCGCGUAUCGCUUCUUCGAGUGGGCGCGCAAGCAGAGGCGUGGUGGCUGCGCCCACACCGUCCGCUCCUUCCACACGGUGGUCGCGUCCCUCGCCAAGAUCCGCCAGUACCAGCUCAUGUGGGACGUCGUUGCCGUAAUGUGCCGGCAGGGCGUGGUCAAUGUCGAGACGUUUGGCAUCAUAAUGCGGAAGUACGCACGGGCGCAGAAGGUCGAUGAAUCUGUUUACACGUUCAAUGUCAUGGAGAAGUACGGCGUGGUGCCUAACCUCGCCGCUUUCAACAGCCUGCUUUGCGCACUGUGCAAGUCCAAGAAUGUGCGCAAGGCACAGGAGAUCUUUGAACAGAUGAAUGACCGGUUCAGCCCUGAUGCCAAGACCUAUAGCAUCUUGCUUGAGGGUUGGGGGAGAGCGCCUAAUCUCCCAAAGAUGCGAGAGGUCUACAGUGAGAUGCUUGAUGCAGGCUGCCAGCCUGACAUAGUCACAUAUGGCAUCAUGGUUGAUUCCCUCUGCAAGACAGGCCGUGUUGAGGAAGCUGUCUUUGUGGUGCAGGACAUGAGCUCCAGGGGCUGCCAACCAACAACCUUCAUAUACAGUGUGCUCGUGCAUACUUACGGUGUUGAAAUGAGGAUCGAGGAUGCUGUUGCAACAUUUUUGGAUAUGCAGAAGGACGGAAUCGUGCCAGAUGUUGUGGUUUAUAAUGCACUUGUCACUGCCUUCUGCAAAGUGAAAAAAUUUGACAAUGCAUUUAGAGUCAUGGAUGACAUGGAAGGCCAUGGAAUCACCCCAAACUCAAGGACCUGGAACAUCAUCCUUAACAAGAUGAUUAGCCUUGGAAAGGAUGAAGAAGCAUACAGGGUCUUCCGCCGUAUGAUAAAGCGCUGCCAGCCAGAUUCUGAUACAUACACCAUGAUGAUAAAGAUGUUCUGUGAGAAUGACAGGUUAGAGAUGGCACUGAAGGUAUGGAAAUAUAUGAGGUUGAAGCAGUUUCUGCCGAGCAUGCACACGUUCUCUGUGCUGAUCAACGGGCUGUGUGACAAGGGUGAGGUUAGCCAAGCUUGUGUUCUGCUUGAAGAUAUGAUAGAGAAGGGCAUUAGACCCCCUGGUUCAACAUUUGGCAAGCUGAGGCAGCUCCUUCUGAAGGAAGGAAGGAAGGAUGUGCUUGAAUUUCUCGUUGAUAAAAUGAAGAUUCUGAUACAGGAACCUUUGUUUGAUUGACCAUUCAUUAUGUUCCAAUGCAGGAGACAACGGCUAAUAGUGAUUCUUCUGCAUAGAUAGUUUAGUUGAAAAGAUAUCACCUCAAUGUCUCUGUGAAAAGGGGGGAAAUCAAUUCAAUGUAGAUUUUCUUUCACCGAGGCUUGAGGGAGCAAAUGCCCAAUUCUCCAGGAUGGAUAAGGUUUUCCAUGUCAUAUUCUUGCAGUAGUUAUAUGUCCAUGAUGAAAUCUCUUCUUCAUACUGCCUAAAAACUACUGUUGUCUUGUGUCAUAAUUCAUAGGUAAAGGUAAAAUCCAAUUGUAAGAAAAUAAAGCCAUUGACAAGAGGCAUAGAGGUUUCCUUGGAAAGGUCAAGCAAAAGACAACAGUGGCAAGCAAACCCAAAUCUUGAAGAUUUGAUGGGCUCUGCACAUCAGAUGGCUAUGGCUGUAAAAAACAGAUGCCUCAAGACCCUGGGUUGAGUUUCACGCAGUGCUCAAGCGCUUUUUGGGGUAGCGGCGGAAUCCAUUGUGCACGGGAGGCAAGAAAAUUCUGAUCUGACCGGUGGUUGUAAGGCAGAACAAUCACUGAGUUGGCUCCUAACUUGAUCAAGUUGAUCUCCAUAAGAGUUGUUAAACAUCGAACUGUUGCUCAAGACCUGAACAGCCAAGGAUGGGUAACUGACAUCAAAGGAGCCCUAACGGUACAAGUGAACUAUUGAGUGUCUUCAGAUUUGGGACAUGGUUGAUAAUCUGGUCUUACAUCAGAAGUUCAUGAUCAGCAGCGGUGGCGUUUCACUCGGUCAGGUUCCUACAUCAGUACAUAUGCAUAUCACACUUUCUUCAUUGGAACCAUCAAGUUCACACCUUGGAAACAAAUCUGGAAAAGCUGGUCUGCACUGCGAAUUUUCAUUUCGUUAGUUGUAAACAGCCGGUGUUGGACAGCUGACCGACUUGCGAAGCGCGGCCUUCCCUAUCCAGUUGCUUGUCCCCUCUGUGAUCAGGCUGAGGAAACAAUCCAACACACCAUCAUCUCAUGUGUGUUUGCUCGGCAGGUCUGGACACUAAUUUUCCAAAGGUUGGGCCUGAUUGCUAUUGUCCCUCAACCUACUGCUGCUCAGUUCUCUGCUUGGUGGAGCAAUGCUAUCAGUAGGGUUCCAAAGGUGCUGAGAGAAGGCCUCAACUCCCUGAUCAUUUUAAUACCUUGGGAGCUUUGGAAGCACCGAAAUGAUUGUGUUUGAAGGGGCAAACCCAAGUGUUAAGGUGGUUUUGCAAACAGUGGAUGAGAAUGGUUUAUGGUGUCUGGCUGGAAUCUCUGCGCUUCAUAAGCUCCUCCUUCGGUCGCUCUCCCUGGACUCUUAUUAUUGGGGAGGUGACCUGGUCGUGGACGUUUAAAAUUCAUAGUGGCGUGUUUGUAGUCCUGUUGUGUGUGUGCUGGGUGUGUUUUAUGAGUAGUCUCUUUGGCCUCUCCCCUGUACUGUUUUUUCUCUCUUAACGAAAUGACACGCAGCUCUCAUGCGUUGUUCUAGAAAAAUAGAAAAACAUCUUUGACUGAAUGAAAGCACUUGAUGACACGAUUGAGAAGUCA